rnacentral:rRNA from 1 species
GACGAACGCUGGCGGCGUGCUUAACACAUGCAAGUCGAGCGGUAAGGCCCUUUCGGGGGUACACGAGCGGCGAACGGGUGAGUAACACGUGGGUGACCUGCCCUCAGCUCUGGGAUAAGCCUGGGAAACCGGGUCUAAUACCGGACAUGACUCCAUGACGCAUGUUGUGGGGUGGAAAGCCUUGUGCGGCUGAGGAUGGGCCCGCGGCCUAUCAGCUUGUUGGUGGGGUGANGGCCUACCAAGGCGACGACGGGUAGCCGGCCUGAGAGGGCGACCGGCCACACUGGGACUGAGACACGGCCCAGACUCCUACGGGAGGCAGCAGUGGGGAAUCUUGCGCAAUGGGCGAAAGCCUGACGCAGCGACGCCGCGUGAGGGAUGACGGCCUCGGU